GCCCUCCAGUUCCUACUCCCAUGAUAGCAGAACUCUGCUCCUGGUAGUUGUACCAGGAGGAAAAAUGAUACUGGAGCUGCCCUCAUGGUGUUGUAGUCUGAUGUAUAGCAUUGAGCCAGUUGCAACAAGGU
ensembl:snoRNA